rnacentral:rRNA from 1 species
CAUUACAUGAGAGUUUGAUCCUGGCUCAGGACGAACGCUGGCGGCGUGCCUAAUACAUGCAAGUCGAACGGU